rnacentral:lncRNA from 1 species
GUGCUGCUGUGCGCCGCUGCCGUCGCAGUCACCCUGCUGCCUGCCUGGCUGCAGUACUUGCCGUUAGCCUCUUCAUUCUCUGGGCCGUGGGCGGCGCUUUCACCUUCCUGCUCUGCAUCACAGCGCCUGUGCUUUUGAUCCUGCUGCAUGCUUCACUGCGCCUGAGAAACCUUAAAAACAAGAUUGAGAACAAGAUCGAGAGCAUCGGUCUAAAGCGGACACCAAUGGGACUGCUUCUAGAGGCACUGGGACAGGAGCAGGAAGCUGGAUCCUAGGACCCUGGCAACUAUACUCUGGAUCUAGAGGACCCCCACCCCACACCCAAGACCAAACCUUUCCUAGUCAUUAAAACAGGUGCCUAGAGCCCUCUGGCCUGUCCAAGAAAAGGCACCUGUGACUGCUCACUGCAGCCCCAAACUGGUCAUCUCUUAGCCUCUAGCCCGUCACCGAGGGACCACAGGCUUCCUCAGCCCUCAAUUUGAGACUCAGUCGCUUACAUCCAGCCUUGAAACUGGAUUUCUAAGCCACAGCAUCUGUGGCCAAUCUCAAAACUGGACCCCAAGAUACUCCCCUGACCCAAAUGUGGGACUCGAUGGUCUUCCAUACUUCAAAGCUAGGCCCUAAGGCAAGACAUCCUCAAAUCUUGAGCUCUAAAGAUUUUUCAGACCCCACACAACUUGGAACGUAGGUUAAUACCUGGUCAAAUCUUGAGCCUAAGUCCAAGUGUCCUCAGCCCUGACCACACUGAACCCUUGAAUUCAGAUAACCCUAACCCUCAGUAGACCCAAUAGCCUCCCUCCAACUGUUUCAAGGUUCUCUCCCUCCCCCACAAUGUUCUCAGUAUCAAGGACCAACAUGUGGGACUGGCUAGGGAUAGCCCCAGCUGGGAAUGGGGCACAUAUAAUAGUGUUGCUACAAUAAAGCCUUUGAAUCUCAAGCU